CAUAGACGCGCUUCAUGCGAGACGGCUGGAUCGUGGUUAGUUGGAGGCUCUCAAAUUGUCCAGUGAAUAGGAAGAAAUUUAAUGAAGUGAUAACGUUGGCUCCGGAGAGUCGCGCCAAGAUCUGGAUACCCUGAGGAUACUAGUUAGCUGUCUUCCCAUUGCAACCUCGGUCAUAGGACAGACAGUACAUGCAUGAACAGAAUGGCGCUCUCCCACGGUUGUCUGUCGCGCCUCGUUCUGCGAGAUAUCUGGACGUCGGGCAUGGCAAGCAGAGGUCUCGCUACGUCUGCGGUCGUUCUGCGGAAGACGCGAUGGAUGCCGACGGCACCCUCAAAGCUGUACAGAGUGCCGACGCGGCCUGAGAUCCCUGCAGACGAAAGGGAGGACAUGAAACGCCUGUACAACAACUACCGCACUGCGAUGAAGUCUUUGAAGAGCUACCUGCGCCAGGACUGGGAGCUGCGCCAGAGCAACCGUGCCCAGCCGGGUCACGUGCUCUCCCGGAG